GGAGAGGUGGCCGAGUGGUUUAAGGCUCUCGUCUUGAAAACGAGCGUGGCCUAAGCAGCCACCGUGGGUUCGAAUCCCACCCUCUCCGCCACGG
rnacentral:tRNA from 1 species